UACAGGGGGUGCAAGCGUUGUUCGAAAUUACUGGGCGUAAAGAGCGUGUAGGCUGUUUAUUAAGUCGCCUGUGAAAGCCCUUGGCUCAACCAAGGAAGUGCAGGCGAUACUGUUAAGCUAGAGUCUCGGAGAGGAUGGUGGAAUUCUCGGUGUAGAAGUGAAAUUCGGAGAUAUCGAGAGGAACACCAGUGGCGAAGGCGACCAUCUGGAAGACGACUGACGCUGAGACGCGAAAGCGUGGGGAGCAAACAGG
rnacentral:rRNA from 1 species